rnacentral:rRNA from 1 species
UACAGAGGGGGCAAGCGUUGUUCGGAAUCACUGGGCGUAAAGCGCACGUAGGCGGCUUUUUAAGUCAGGGGUGAAAUCCUGGAGCUCAACUCCAGAACUGCCUUUGAUACUGAGGAGCUUGAGUCCGGGAGAGGUGAGUGGAACUGCGAGUGUAGAGGUGAAAUUCGUAGAUAUUCGCAAGAACACCAGUGGCGAAGGCGGCUCACUGGCCCGGUACUGACGCUGAGGUGCGAAAGCGUGGGGAGCAAACAGG